rnacentral:rRNA from 1 species
AUUGAACGCUGGCGGCAGGCCUAACACAUGCAAGUCGAACGAGUGGCGGACGGGUGAGUAAUGUCUGGGAAACUGCCUGAUGGAGGGGGAUAACUACUGGAAACGGUAGCUAAUACCGCAUACCAUCGGAUGUGCCCAGAUGGGAUUAGCUAGUAGGUGGGGUAACGGCUCACCUAGGCGACGAUCCCUAGCUGGUCUGAGAGGAUGACCAGAGACACUGGAACUGAGACACUGUCCAGAGCCCUACGGAAGGCAGCGGUGGGGAAGAGUGCAAAAUGGGCGCAAGCCUGAUGCAGCAAUGCCGCGUGUAUGAAGAAGGCUUUCGGGUUGUAAAGUACUUUCAGCGGGGAGGCGUUACCCGCAGAAGAAGCACCGGCUAACUCCGUGCCAGCAGCCGCGGUAAUAC